CAAUGUCUUAUAUUGUCAAAUAUAAUGUUAUUGUGUAUGUAUUUACUUUGCAUAAACUUGGUCUCACUUUUGAUUGAAUUGUUGCAGUUCUUGGUAUAAGGAGCUAUAGCUCCAUUGAAGAAGUGAGAGGCAUACGACAAUAUUUCUUUAGUCUGGAAUUCAGACAGGCAGCAUGCAGAUACUUCUGACUUUAUCAAGUUAGGGAAGCAUUCCACAGAAGAAGGCGGGGUUACACCUUCAGUUUAUUCACGCAAAGAACCACUCAUCCUCCAAGUAUAAAUGCUGCUGUGGAGCUGCUUAAACAAGAUAUUGCAACAUGCAUAAAUUCACCUGGAAGUUAUUCAUGUCAAUGUCCCAAAGGAUACAAACAUGAAGGCAUGGAUGAAAAGAGUUGUAUCAAAGACAACAAAGGGUCAAAGGCCAUUCUCCUCAUUAUUUCAUUAGAUCAAAGAAGGAAGUUCAAUUUAUCAAGGAUCAAGGUUUGGACUACUAGACAGCACGCCGGCUUCGGUUUGAGGUAUGGAAGUCUCGAGCUUGCAAUCUUAAAUUUCUGGUUCCCGAAUAAGAAAUAUGCUCUAUUUGAUCCCGAAUAAGAAAUGACAUAGGUCUGUGGCUUCCAUCAUUAUUAAGUUGUAUCCUUUUCUACUUGGGUUACAAAAAACCAUUAUAAUGAAUUAAUCAAAUUUUUUAUUCUAAGGAAGUAUGUAUUCAACAUUGUUUUUUUCUGAACAAUUUCAAUUAAUAUAACUAUGACCAUUUGUCUACUAUUUUAUAGACUCCCAUUGCCAUGUUGGUC